GGAUCAAUUUAUUGGUCGUGCUAUUGUACGUACUGGUAUUAUUGAUUCCUACCUUCUGACGAACCAUGAUGUCAUUAAUUUGGUGUCAUGGGGAAUCAGGACUGUUACUUUGAAAAAAUUAGAGUGCUCAAAGCAGGCAUCUUGCUUGAAUAUAUUAGCAUGGAAUAAUGGAAUAGGACG
rnacentral:rRNA from 1 species